rnacentral:rRNA from 1 species
AAGCUCGUAGUUGAAUUUCGGAUCCGGCUGUUGUUUGUCGGCCGCAUAGGUCUGUACUCUUCUGGCCGGAUCUUUCCUUCUGGAGAACCAGCAUGCCACUUACUUGGUGUGCUGGUGAUCCAGGACUUUUACCUUGAAAAAAUUAGAGUGUUUAAAGCAGGCAUACGCUUGAAUACAUUAGCAUGGAAUAAUAGAAUAGGACAUCGCAUUCUAUUUUGUUGGUUUCUAGGAUCGACGUAAUGAUUAAUAGGGAUAGUUGGG